rnacentral:pre_miRNA from 1 species
ACAUACUUCUUUACUAUCCCAUAGACUGUCACAAAAUUAUGGAAUGUAAAGAAGUAUGUAU